AAAAUUCAGAAUUUUUAAAAACUUGAAAGUAUUUUUAAACAAUUAAAAAUAAACAUAAAAUCAAUUAAAUCAUGAAAAUAUUAAUAAUGAUCCAAAAAAUAAUUUUAAUUCAGAAUCUGAAAGAGGAAUUUAUUUAAAUUUUUGUGGUGAAACUCUCAUGUUUUUUGGAUCAAUAUUAAAAUUAAUAUGAAUUAAUGAAAAUCAAAUGAAUUAAAA
rnacentral:lncRNA from 1 species